CCUACGGGCCGCACCAGUGGGGAAUAUUGCACAAUGGGCGCAAGCCUGAUGCAGCCAUGCCGCGUGUAUGAAGAAGGCCUUCGGGUUGUAAAGUACUUUCAGCGGGGAGGAAGGUGUUGUGGUUAAUAACCGCAGCAAUUGACGUUACCCGCAGAAGAAGCACCGGCUAACUCCGUGCCAGCAGCCGCGGUAAUACGGAGGGUGCAAGCGUUAAUCGGAAUUACUGAGCGUAAAGCGCACGCAGGCGGUCUGUCAAGUCGGAUGUGAAAUCCCCGGGCUCAACCUGGGAACUGCAUUCGAAACUGGCAGGCUAGAGUCUUGUAGAGGGGGGUAGAAUUCCAGGUGUAGCGGUGAAAUGCGUAGAGAUCUGGAGGAAUACCGGUGGCGAAAGCGGCCCUCUGGCCUGUAACUGACACUGAGGCUCGAAAGCGUGGGGAGCAAACAGGAUUAGAUACCCCCGUAGUC
rnacentral:rRNA from 1 species